CCAGUGAAGAAAAGAGAAAUGUGAACAGGGAGCCCUCUGAGAAUCAAAUCCACCGGAAUGUCAACUAGUGAAGCUUCCCUGACCUGCUCUCGAGUUGCCAUAGGCAGGGGGAUGGGAAAUCGUGCCUCGCAGCUGCACCAAGGAAUUUACUCCUCAGUCAUAACAAGACACAUUCUGGCUGAGCAAAUCAAGGUUAUCUCUGUGGAUACCAGCAAUGCCUGGAGGGAGUGACUUCUACAAUACCGCGAAAUUACCUCGUUGGGGAAUGUGACCAAGUGACAGAUUUUGGAGGGAGAGGAGGAGGCAGAAACAGGGUUAGAGGCAAGGGGUGAAGGGGUGAAGUCAGAGUUGGCUUCACCUAGGUAAUGCUGACAUGGUGCUCCUAAUUAAAGACUGGAUUUUUAUUGCCA